CGAGGACGAACGCUGGCGGCGUGCUUCAUACAUGCAAAGUCGAACGAUAAGGUCUCUUCGGAGAUACAUAAGUGGCGGACGGGUGAGUAAAAUGUAGAGAAUCUGCCCUAGAGAUGGGGACAACAGUUGGAAACGACUGCUAAUACCCAAUAUGAGCGUAGUUGAAAUACUAUUCUUGAAAACUCCGGUGCUCUGGGAUGAGUCUGCAUCUGAUUAGCUAGUUGGAGGUGUAAUGGACCACCAAGGCGACGAUCAGUAGCUGGUUUGAGAGGAUGAUCAGCCACAAUGGGACUGAGACACGGCCCAUACUCCUACGGGAGGCAGCAGUAGGGAAUUUUGCGCAAUGGGGGAAACCCUGACGCAGCAACGCCGCGUGAAUGAAGAAGCCCUUCGGGGUGUAAAGUUCUGUCAGUAGGGAAGAAUAAAUGACUGUACCUACAGAGGAAGCAUCGGCUAACUCCGUGCCAGCCGCCGC
rnacentral:rRNA from 1 species